rnacentral:tmRNA from 1 species
GGGGGCGAAGGGCUUCGACGGAGUGCCUGAGGGGCCCGAGCGCAUGGCGAGGUUACCUCUAUCACCUCGUAAAUCCUGGUAGAGGAAAUACAGCUGCCAACAACAGCUACGCACUGGCUGCCUAGUAACGCAGGCGGUCCCUCGGACUGCGAGUUCACCCGGCGCAGUUUCGGGGUCUAACAGGGUGAUAAAGGCCGGCGGUCCGCCCCAGGUUGCCGGCUGGAUUGCAACGGGGCUGGUCGGCUGCCGCCCGUCAACCGGCUGAGCGGCUGACGAGAAUUGUAGGUUGACUAACCAUGUAGAGCUCUGGUCGCGAACUCUCCGGACGCGGGUUCGAUUCCCGCCGCCUCCAUUG